rnacentral:lncRNA from 10 species
UAGAGAGGAGUCCAGUAAUUACAACACAGGGUGGCACAUGGAGUUCCCCUGGAUUUCCUGGUCAUGAGGAGUGGGUAGCAGGAUGAAGCGCCUCCAAGCUUGGACCUCCUGCAGAGACUUCUUUAGUUCUGGCCCCACUCAAAACUAGCAGCCUUAGGGCUAUUCGGAAACUUUCUAUAAUAAUACCAAUACAACCAAAGACUAUUAUUCUGAACAGAAAACAAGAAAUACAGCUGGAGCUAUUUCCUAUCUACCUGAUGAAGGGCACUACCAGGCGGUCACUCUGGCUCUGUCCACCGAUGCCUGUGCCCACUUUGUGCGACGUAGCUUCCAUGGAGACAAGAGCAAUGGUAAUGGAAGAAGAAAGUCUGGAUGUACUCUUGCAGAAGCAGAAAGCUUCAUGGAACAAUAUUAAUCUUCUGGUCAUCUCUGUGCUGGUCUAGUUGCCCAUAAAGUUGUCAGAUUGACUUUGGAUUUAAAGCCUGAAAAUGAGUCCCAAGGAAAUCCGUUGACAUGAGGCCCAAGGAAGACAGUUUUUGGAAGGGGCAAGGAGGGACAGUUCUCUGCUCCACUGAAGCUAGGUAUGGCCAUGUGACCCAUGUUGCC